GCCUCGGUAGUGUAGUGGUAGCACGAGCCUCCGUUAUGGGUGAAACGCUGGUUCAAAUCCCGUUUCAGUUUUGCU